rnacentral:ncRNA from 1 species
AUAAAAUUUUAUUCUAGUUUAUUAGAUAAAUAUUUGUAAUUAUUUUAUAUGUAAAUUUUUGUAAUUAAUAAUAUUAAUUUUAAAUAAGUUUUAUUAAAUUUUUUAUUUGCAGUAUAUAAUAUUAUAAAUAUAAGAAAUUAUGAAUUAAAUAUAUAAUUUAAUAUUAACAAAAUUUGUGCCAGCAGUUGCGGUUAUACAAAUAAUAUAAUUUAUUAUUAUUAGUUAAUAAUUAAAUGGAUUAAAAAUAAUUUUAAAUAGUAAUUUAUUAAGUGAAAUUUUAAUUUGCUAAUAAUAUUAAUAAAAAUUUUUGAAGUUAUUAAAUUUUAUAAAAAACUAGGAUUAGAUACCCUAUUAUUAAAAUGUAAAAUUUUAUAUUAAAUUAUUAAUAGAUAUAUUCUUUAAAAUUAAAGAUUUUGGCGGUAUUUUAAUCUAUUCAGAGGAACCUGUUCUGUAAUUGAUAAUCCACGAUUAGAAGUACUUAUUUUAAAAAUUUAUAUAUCGUCGUAGUUGAAUAUUUUAUUAGAUUUUAAAUAUUCUUAAUAUAUUUUUUAAAAUAAAUCAGAUCAAGGUGUAGUUUAUAAAUAAGAUGAAAUGGGUUACAAUAAAUUAUAUUUUAUGGAUAAAAAUUUUAAAUAAUUUUUUGAAAUUGGAUUUGAGUGUAAUUUUAUUUAUUUUGGUAAAAUGAUUAUAGUUCUAAAAUAUGCACAUAUCGUCCGUCGCUCUCAAUUAUUUUGAGAUAAGUCGUAACAAAGUAAAUGUACUGGAAAGUGUAUUUAGAUAGCA